rnacentral:rRNA from 1 species
UACGUAGGGUGCAAGCGUUGUCCGGAAUUAUUGGGCGUAAAGGGCUUCUAGGCGGCUUGUCACGUCGACUGUGAAAACUCGGGGCUCAACCCCGAGCCUGCAGUCGAUACGGGCAGGCUAGAAUUCGGUAGGGGAGAUCGGAAUUCCUGGUGUAGCGGUGAAAUGCGCAGAUAUCAGGAGGAACACCGGUGGCGAAGGCGGAUCUCUGGGCCGAUAUUGACGCUGAAGAGCGAAAGCGUGGGGAGCAAACAGG